ensembl:lncRNA
CCACAGUAGAGUCCACUAGAGACAACAUCUACUCAGAGACCACAGUAGAGUCCACUAGAGACAACAUCUACUCAGAGACCACAGAAGAGUUCACUAGAGACAACAUCUACUCAGAGACCACAGGAGCAGAUAUCAACACAGCCUUUUCCACCCACAGUACCCCUGCUCAGCCAGAGACCCACAGUACCCCUGCUCAGCCAGAGACCCACUUUACCCCUGCACUGAGUGUCUUUGAGGACAGACUGAGGAAAAUAGACAGUCUGUACUGUCCCGCAACAGACCAGCAAAGUUGGAAGGACCAAGAGGAUGGCUAUCAGGUGAUGAACAGCAACACAGGGCCUCUAAGGGGCCUCACCUCUCCCCCAGAGACCCACCAAUCCCCCUGCCUGGUCUUAAAAGAGCCCAGCAGCCCAGCCCUCUGCCUGGGGGGCACCAUGAGCCUAGGGGGCACCUCAGUCAACAGCAGCCCUAAGGUUAGGCUGGGGGGCCAGGGGGUUCGCCUGGGGAACCAGGGGGGAAUGGUCUACCUAGGGGGCACUGUCAAGAACAGCCCUACCCUCAGCCUUGGAGGCAGUGUGGACCUGGGGGGUACUGUCAACCUCAUCCUCAGCUUGGGGAACCAAGGAGACAGUCAUGUGGAGGUGAUGGAGGCUAAUCUUAGGGUGGGUGAGGAGGAGAGCACAGAGCCUGUCCACAGGGACAACAACAUGACAUCAGCUCCUGCAUACGAGAGUAUGUUACUGCCCCGCCUCCACACCAAGACCUCCUCCUCUUCAUCCCCCUCCUCCUCCAGGGCUCCUCAAUCUUGCGUCUCUUUCCCCUCCUCCCUGCCCAAGAACACCUCCAUCUUUUCUAGUCUAAAGAUAAGGAGCAAGAAGAGGAGAAGGAAGAGAGACGCUGGCCGCCACACCAUUCAGAAAAUCAUGGUUGUAGAGGGGGAGGAGCAGACAGAGGUGGCAUGUCCUGCUGAAGCUGCACCCCAGCAAAUCACGCUGUACGACACCCAGACCUGGCCAAUGAAGGAGGGCCGGAGGAAGAAGAAGAGCCUAUUAAAGGCCGACGGGGUGGGCCCAGGGCAGGGGGUGGAACUCGUGGACUACAUGGAUAACCCAUUGGCCAGGGAUAUUGAAGAUGAAUGUUCUGGGGUGUCCACUGUCAGCCCCUAUGCAGUGACAGAGGCAGUCUCUAUAGCUCCACCCAGGGGCCAGGUGAGGAGCCACUGCAGGUUCCUGUCUCUGGGGUCUGUUUUGACCUUCGACCUCUCCAAAGACAUGAGGUUGAUCCCCAGUAUACAGGAUGUCAUCACUAUAGGACUCCCAGAACACAGGGGAACCUCCAACCCAAACCUCAAUCCCAACCCUCACACAGAGACACAUGCAGCCCUCAGCUCUUUCAAACAUACCCGCUCCCCUCCCUCAGACACGCACAGAGCACCAGAUAAUGAGGCCGUCACUACUUACAGAUAUGAAACAAUGACACAGAUUCAGACACAGCCACUACUGACACUGACACAGCCACUACUGACACAGACACAACCACUACCGACACAGACACAACCACUACUGACAAAGAUACAGACACAGACACAACCAUUACUGACACAGACACAGCCACUACUGAGACAGACACCGACACAAAUACUAAAACAGACAAAGCCACUGACACAGGCUAUUCAGCUGGAGCCUCUGUCUAAUCUAGAUACAGAUUUUCCUCCUCCUCCUCCUCCUGCCCUGGAUGAGGACUGGGAUCAGAACGUAUCAAGCAAUGACCUAUCCCUAACACAGAUCCAGACCGUACUCCAGGAGCCUGAGCAGGAGUGGUCGGAGCUCAUCUUCAGCAAGCAACCACCAAUCACAGCUUAUUGCCCAAAGAGUCCCACUCCAAUGAACCGAGACCAUUACAAUUACAUGGAAAUGACCAUGGUUAGUAGAAGUCCCAUUGUAAAGAGCAAGGACCCCUGUCCCUCCUCAGCCUAUCAGAACCAUGAGAGCAAGGACCCCUGUCCCUCCUCAGCCUAUCAGAACCAUGAGAGCAAGGACCCCUGUCCCUCCUCAGCCUAUCAGAACCAUGAGCGCAAGGACCCCUGUCCAUCCUCAGCCUAUAAGAACCAUGAGAGCAAGGACCCCUGUCCAUCCUCAGCCUAUCAGAACCAUGAGAGCAAGGACCACUGUCCCUCCUCAGCCUAUCAGAACCAUGAGCACAAGGACCCCUGUCCAUCCUCAGCCUAUCAGAACCACGAGUGCCUCAUUCAGGACCUCAAUGGACACCAGUACCAUCAUAGGUUGAAGACCCAUAGAGAGAGUGUUGACCUCCAGGAGACCAGCCAGGCUUCUCAGAUGGUUGUGAAUCUGAAGGUCAGUGGGUUAGGGAGUAUGAUGCAAGACUCAAUGGACUCUGGCAUCUCUGGUGUCACCAACUCUGGGAGCUUGAAGCUCAAUGCACCUGAUGUUCUCCAAGAGCCCCAGCCCAUGAGGACUGUGGUGGGGAGGCUAGUGUCUCUGGAGGAGGGGCGUAUGGAGGAUGUGUCCACACCCAGGGGAAAUCCCACAGCAACCCCAGCUCCUGCCCACCCAGAGACAAAAACAACACCCAGAAACAGACACCACCAGACAGAGACAGAACUCGACUCUGAUCCGGUCGACCCCGACCUCACCAUCCAUCCAGACCACCAGCAGUUUGAGGAGGUAGAGGAGGAGCUGGAGGACAUCUGGAACCAUAGCAAUGGCUACAGACAGAGUAUCUCCUCUGACAUCAUGUACCAGCCACACCAAGAGGAGGAGGAGGGGGGAAGUAGCAACACCCCAGGACUGACCACAGACCCCCUCUCACCCCCCCAGGCCCAGCCCCAGGCUACCCCCUACAGAAAGCUGAUAACAACUUCUGCCCCUAACCUUCUGGUGGCUGAAUUCACACUCCCCUCAUCCCUCCAAACCCUACUGGGGUACAACCAGCACCAGAACCAAGACCAGGGCUUUAGCCAAGACCCUAACUCCAGAGAAGAGCUCCCUAUGCUGGCUAACAGAGACAUGAGGUCCUGGGCAGCUUUCCCUAGUCAGGACCAACCCUGGAGGACAACAGCACUGGUCAAUGAAACGGCAGCAGAACCAGUCAAGCUACCGGAAAUGGAGGACCAGAAGAGAUAUAUCUACCAGUAUAGAGAGGAGGAGGAAGAGGAUGAGGAGGAGAAGAUGGAGGACACAGGUUGUCCAAAGGACCCAUCAAUGAGUCUGCUGUCUGUCCACAUGGGUCUGCACGGAAACAAUCAGCGAGCUACAAGUUGUGGCACUCUGGAAGGUGUGAUGGAAAAGCAUGGAGAGAGUCUGGCCACAGGGGGGCGAUGUGGCACUAUGAAUGGGAGUGGGUCUGAGCUGCAGACGAUGGAGGGAACUCUGGAGAGGAAACACAAGCUGCAGCUGGGAGGGAAGAAGUGUCCAGUGAGCAUGUCUCCUCCAUGACGUCACCCAGCGACCUCUUGGUUCAGGACCCCCCCGCCCCCUUCACCACCUCUUUCCUCUCACAAAGUACCAGCACAGGGACGGACAGAGCCAAGGAGAUAGUUGUCCUGACCAGAGAGACCAGAGAGACUCACCGUCAGAUCCCUCAGUUGCACCCAGAGAAACAGCAGGACCCAACAUCCUCAUCACAUACAGGCCGUCGUGGUAAAGGCCGUCGUGAAGAUAACUAUGACUCCCAGAGACAGAAACUGUGUGGUAGAUACAGGGAGAACAGCCCUUCCUCCUUGCACUCCUCCAUCUCUCCUUUCUCCCUCCACAACUCCUCCUCCAUCCCUCCAUUCUCCCUCCACUCCUCUGUCUCUCCUCCUUUCUCCUCUGUCUAUAGAGGUGGUCAGGACUGGCUCAGUCAAGUGAACAAGUGUCACUCAUUUACCUCAGCAAGGUACCAGAAUAUUAAACCAGCGUUGCUGCCCCCAGGAGGCAGAGGCCGGGACUACGGAUCAGUGGGUCUGGACUGUGGGUCAAACUACUCCGUGACUAUGAUUAUAGGAGACAAGCAGUCUGCCGCUUCUCCCACUCUCAGUUGUGAUGGUAGUGGUCCAUCUAUCACCAGUCACACUGACCCACAGCGCCCCCUCCUGGAUGGAUGGCAGCACCACUCAUUUCACCAGGAAUCUACUACAAGAAGGCAGCUUCACCAGCACCAAGCAAUGUACCACCACGACCAGGAACCAUCUCUGAGGUCCUGCACCGGUCUGCCUCCGCCACGCAAGAAGUCUGUCUUCAACAAGUUCUUUGGAAAGAAAGACUGAAGCUGUUAUCAAUCAAUCACAUAUUUCUCUUACCUUUCUUUUGGUAUUUUCUUAAAACUGCAUCAUCGUUGGUUAAGGGCUUGUAAGAAAGCAUUUCACUGUUGUAUUCGGCGCAUGUGAGAAAUAAAAUUUGAUUUGAUAUUUAUGAAGUCCUUUUUUACUUUUACAGUCCUUUCUUGCCCGACAGCUGAGUUAUAACGGACUGAAGUUAACAUCAUAGCAGCACGUCUGGACUCUGACGUCUUGAGUUUGCUAUGUGAGGGCUGCUGUACUCUGUAUUUUUACUCAAUAAGGAUUGGAAACCAAGCAGGCUUUGUGUAUUAAUGUGUGGUGCUCAUUAAAUGACCCCUGCUACAUACAGUAGCUAAUCUAUUUGUGUUUCAACCAUCCGUGUGUGCUGGUAGUCCUAAGUCCUAAAAAUACAGGUAAAACAAGCUGUGUGUCCUGGAUAAUAGUGGGCCCUGAAAUGAUUGACACCCUUGAUACAUGGUUGACACCCUUGAUACAUGGUUGACACCCUUGAUACAUGGUUAACACCCUUGAUAAAUGUUUGACACCCUUGAUACAUGGUUGACACCCUUGAUACAUGGUUGACACCCUUGAUACAUGGUUGACACCCUUGAUACAUGGUUGACACCCUUGAUAAAUGGUUGACACCCUUGAUACAUGGUUGACACCCUUGAUACAUGGUUGACACCCUUGAUAAAUGGUUGACACCCUUGAUACAUGGUUGACACCCUUGAUACAUGAAUGACACCCUUGAUACAUGAAUGACACCCUUGAUACAUGAUUGACACCCUUGAUAAAGAUGAGCAAUAAUGACUGCAUAAAACAAUUAAAAUACUGAGCUAGAUUGCUAUGCUAAAAAAAGGGAUUUUUUUUUUAUACUAAUACAACUGCUCAGAUAAAGAGAUUUUGUUUAAAAACCUUAAAGUCGUCCAAAUGAUUCAUACCCGUUUUCAGUACAUUUCAACUCAAUUCAAAUUACUUUAUUGGCAUGACUUAACAAUGUACAUAUUGCCAAAACGUACAUAUUGCCUUUCAAUACCACACCUUGUGAGGAUAACCGCAAUGAGCCUUUUUCUAAAAUGCUUUAUUAGUUGGAGAACACAUUAGGAGGGAUCGUAGACCAUUGCCCUCUUCUAUUCAAACCACCAGUUUCCAAUGGGUUUUCAGUCCGGAGACUGAGAUGGCCAUUGCAAAAUGUUGAUUUUGUGGCCAAAUAACCAUUCAUUUGUGGAUUUUGAUGUGUGCAGAGGCAACCAUUUUUUUAGCUAAAAUGUCCUGGUACUGGAUAAAAGUUCAUGAUGCCGUUGACCUUAACAAGAGCCCCGGACCAGUGGAACAAAAGGCGCCCACAGCUACUGUAGAACAUGCUGGUGGAUCUGUAAUGUAAUGGGGCUAUUGACCUUCCACUGGUCCGGGGCCCUUGGUAAGGUCAACUUUACCCAGUACCAGGACAUUUUGGCCAAAACACUUUUUUGGUUACUACAUGAUUCAAUUUGUGUUAUAUCAUAGUUUUGAUGUCUUCACUAUUAUUCUACAAUGUAGAAAAUAGUAAAAAUAAAGAAAAAC